rnacentral:rRNA from 1 species
CGUAGGUGGCAAGCGUUGUCCGGAUUUACUGGGCGUAAAGGAUGCGUAGGUGGAUAUUUAAGUCAGAUGUGAAAUACCCGAGCUUAACUUGGGUGCUGCAUUUGAAACUGGAUAUCUAGAGUGCAGGAGAGGUAAGUGGAAUUCCUAGUGUAGCGGUGAAAUGCGUAGAGAUUAGGAAGAACACCAGUGGCGAAGGCGACUUACUGGACUGUAACUGACACUGAGGCAUGAAAGCGUGGGGAGCAAACAGGAUUAGAUACCCUGGUAGUCCACGCCGUAAACGAUGAGUACUAGGUGUAGGAGGUAUCGACUCCUUCUGUGCCGCAGUUAACACAAUAAGUACUCCGCCUGGGAAGUACGGUCGCAAGAUUA